rnacentral:lncRNA from 1 species
CUCACCUCAAAUAGUUAAACUUAGAGAUGUUAGAAAACAAAAACAAAAACCCAGCAGCAGCAUAAAGACCUAGAAUUUGGAUGAUGAGUUAAGUCUGAGUAACAGCUGCUUUCCUGUUCUAGACUCACUACAGGAAAUGCCAGCAUAAAACAAACAUAGAAACAUACAAAUUAGAUGCAAAGCCAUAUGGUAUUGGGUCGUAAGUGCCACUGCUACGUGACUCAGCCAAAAGUGAACAAGGGCUUUAUGCUUUUCUGUCAUGCCCCAUCAAAUUAUGUCACGUGCCCACAAACAAAAUAGCAACAUGCCUAUACCUAUAAACAGAGUUAUAGAUGUAUAAGGAGAGGCAGUCAUUUGACAGAAUUUGAGAGCCCAGGGUCAACCAUAGGUGCACAGUACCUGAGCCAGGGCCACACCUACUCAAAGACAAUUCUCAGCACCUCCUAUGGCUUCCCUCUAUCCAUCCAUGCAAAGAUGCAGAAGAUAUGGGCCUAGGGGACUCAAAGAACACUGGAAAAUUCUAGGAGCCUCCAUUCCCGACCAGUUUGAAGAACACAGUUCCCAAUGCUUUUACACUUCGACAAUGCUCUUUCUCCUAUGAAGAACUCAGGAAAUAACGAGAGCUUUUAUUGUUUUAGGCAAGAAGUUGGCCAACAAAGAAAACUUUAUAAAACAGAAAAAGGAGUGAUUUACCCAAAUGGGUAUAAGAAAGCCCUGGACCCAGGCCAAAAUAAGAAAUGUCGAGCUACCCCGAAAUGACUUGGCUAGUCAGGAAGGUACAAGUUCCACUGACUCUGCACCUAGAGCAUAGCCACACCUGGCUGUGAAGGAGGCAACUCAGCACCACACCCCAGCUGCCAGAGGCACAUUGCUGAGUCUUGGUAUUUCAUGUGAAAAUUCCAAGAAAAGUCAUCUUCAGUUCACUCUGAUGUCAAAAAUCAUUUCCUACAAGGCUGAGUAGCCAAUUAGAGUUCAGAAAUAAAUUUAAAAAUUAUAUAAAUAAAAAGGCA